CUUGAGAUAAUUUGUGAUAUCAUCGUCUGAAAUGUCUGCAUCGGGGUAAAGUGUAACUUGACACCCCUGUCUCUCCUUGAAAAACGUAUACGGGACUCCUCCAAAUGCAGGGGAGGUAAUGCCUCUAGACCAAUUACUGUCUUGCUUUACGCUAUAGAACUGCAACCUUACAUGGAUUUUUGAAUGACCACUUAUCGGAUGCCUCUCUUCAUCUACUAUAGGUACCCAUCUAUCGACUAUAUAUCGAUUCAAGACUUCCUCAACAGGGAGAUAAGCUCUUCCAAUUAGUGUUGCACUAACAGGAUUCUCAUCUUUUACUGUAAAAAUG
rnacentral:lncRNA from 1 species